CCUACGGGAGGCAGCAGUGAGGAAUAUUGGUCAAUGGACGCAAGUCUGAACCAGCCAUGCCGCGUGCAGGAAGACGGCUCUAUGAGUUGUAAACUGCUUUUGUACGAGGGUAAACGCAGAUACGCGUAUCUGUCUGAAAGUAUCGUACGAAUAAGGAUCGGCUAACUCCGUGCCAGCAGCCGCGGUAAUACGGAGGAUUCAAGCGUUAUCCGGAUUUAUUGGGUUUAAAGGGUGCGUAGGCGGUCGGAUAAGUUAGAGGUGAAAUCCCGAGGCUCAACUUCGGAAUUGCCACUGAUACUGUCCGGCUAGAGAGCAGUUGCGGUAGGCGGAAUGUAUGGUGUAGCGGUGAAAUGCUUAGAGAUCAUACAGAACACCGAUUGCGAAGGCAGCUUACCAAGCUACUUCUGACGUUGAGGCACGAAAGCGUGGGGAGCAAACAGGAUUAGAUACCCCGGUAGUC
rnacentral:rRNA from 1 species